CACAGGGACAGCUCAGCUCUGUGGAGUCCACAAGGUCAGGGUCAGGCACGCCCUGCGGCUGUGCGGACCUGUUCACACAGGGCUUCUCCUGACGGCCCGCUGCCUACCCUUGGAAUUAGCUGCUCCGUGUGCCGCUUCUAGCCCCGCCCUCCCUCUCUGCUCCACCGGCUUCCUGGAGCCUCCCUCGGCUUCACCAACUCCUGUCUUCGCUUCUCCUUUUCCUGGUAUGCUGUGGGAAUGAUAGUAAGACAAACUCCAUGGUCACCUGGCUACGAGGAGGAAUGACAGUCCCAGCCCUUGCCAAGCUCAGCUAAGAGCAGAAGAGACUGAGUUUUCACCAGGAGUAGACUCCAUCUCAAGAAACCAAUUUCUUUGCUCAUCCCUAAGAAGCAGCUUGUCAUCCGUUCAAGUUUCAUCAUGAGAUUACAACAACUCGCUCACGUCUUCAGGCUCCACUUCUACUUCUAGUUGUCUUGCUGUUUCCACCACAUCUGCAGAUACUCCCUCCACUGAAGUCUUGAACCCCUCAAAGCACCCAGGAGGGCUGGAAUCAACUUCUUCUGAACUCCUGUUAAUGUUGAUAUUUUGACCUCUUCCCAGGAAUCAUGAAUGUUCUUACUGGCAUCUAGAAUGGUGAAUCCUUUCCAGGCAGUUUUCAGCUUACUUUGCCCAAAUCCAUCAGAGGAAUCACUAUCCAUGGCAGCCACAGCUUUACAAAAUGUAUUUCUUAAAUAUGUAAUAAGACUUGAAAGUCAAAAUCACUCCUUGGGCUGCAGAAUGGAUGCUGUGUCAGCAAGCACAAAAACAACCUUAAUCUGAUUGUGCACCUCCAUCAGAGAUCUUGGGUGACCAGGCGCAUUGUCAAUGAGCAGUAGCAUUUUGAAAGAAAUCUUUUUUUCUGAGGAGUAGGUCUCAACAGUGUGCUUAAAAUAUUCAGUAAGUCAUGUUGUAAACAGAUGUGCUGUCAUCCAGGUUUUGUUGUUGCAUUCGUGGAGCACAGGCAGAACAGAUUUAGCCUAAUUCUUCAGGGCCCCAGGAUUUUCAGAAUGGUAAAUGAGCAUUGGCUUCAACUUAAAGUCACCAGCUGCAUUAGCCCCUAACAAGAGAGUCGGGGGCCAGCCCUGUGGCCAAGUGGUUAAGUUUGUGCACACUGCUUCGCCAGCUGAGGCUUCGCCAGUUUGGAUUCUGGGUGCGGAUCUAUGCACUGCUCAUCAGGCCAUGCCGUGGCGGCAUCCCACAUAGAAGAAUUAGAAAGACCUGCAACUAGGAUAUAUAACUGUAUUGGGGCUUUGGGGAGGAAGAAAAAAAAAAGAGGAGGAUUGGCAACAGAUGUUAGCUCAGGGCCAAUCUUCCUCACAAAAAAAAAAGAGAGAGAGUCAGUCUGUCCUUUGAGGCUUUGGAGCCAGGCAUUGACUUCUGUCUAGCUAUGAAAGUCCUAGAUGCCAUCUUCCAAUAUAAUGCUGUUUUGUCUACAUUGAAAAUCUGUUGUUUAGUGUAGCCGCCUUCAUGAAUGAUCUUAGCUAGAUCUUCUGGACAACUUGCUGCAGCUACGACAUCAGCACUUGCUGUGUCACCCUGCACUUUCAUGUUAUGGAGAGGCUUCUUUCCUUAAACCUCAUGAACCAACCUGUGCUGGCUUUGAACUUUUCUUCUGCAGCUUCCUGCCCUCUCUCAGCCUUCAUAGAAUUGAGGAGAGUUAGAGCCUUGCUCUGGAUUAGACUUUGGCUUAAGGGAAUAUUGUGGCUGAUUUGAUCUUCUAUCCAGACCACUAAAACUUUCUCCAUAUCAAGUAAUAAGGUUUGCUUUCUUAUCAUUUGUGCGUUCACUGGAGUAGCACCUUUAAUUUCCUUCAAGAACUUUUCCUUUGUGUUCAGAACUUGGCAAACUGUUUGGCACAAGAGGCCGAGCUUUCAGUCUAUCUCAGCUUUCAGCAUGCCUUCCUCACGAAGCUUAAUCAUUUCUAGCUUUUGAUUGAAAGUGAGAGAUGUGCAACUCUUUUCUUUACUUGAACUCUUAGACACUAUUACAGGGUUACUAGCUGGCCCAAUUUCAAUAUUGUUGUGUCUUAGGGCAUAGGGAGGUCUGAGGAAUGGCUGGUUGGUGGAGCAGUCAGAACAUACACAAUAUUUAUCAUUUGAGUUCAUCAUCCUAUGUGGGCACAGUUUGUGGCACCUCAAAACAAUUACAAUAGUAACAUCAAAGAUCGCUGAUCACAGAUCACCAUAACAAAUAGAAUAAUGAAAAAAAGUUUAAAAUAUUGUAAGAAUUACAAAAUGUGACACAAAAACACAAUGUGAGCAAAUGAAGUUGGAAAAAUUGCACCAAUAAGACUUGCUUGACACAGGGCUGCCACAAACUUUUAAUUUAUAAAAAAUGCAAUAUCCGUGAAGCACAAUAAAACAAGGUAUGCCUGUACUGGUUUUGUAAAUUUAGCUUGUAUCCAGCAACCUUGCUGUACUCAAAGUUUGUCAGUAGAUUCUUUUUGGUUUUCUUUGUACAUAAUCAUAUUGCUUGCAAACAAUGGCAGUUUUGUUUCUUUCUUUACAGUCCUUACAUGUUUUAAUUCUUUUUCUUGUCUUACUAAAUUUGCUAGAUACAGUGCAUAAUUGUACAAUUCAGCACAAUGCUGAAUAGGAGCAGUGAGCGUGGGUAUAUGUGACCAGUAUCUGACUAAAGUAGGAAUUUCCUGAGGUUCUAAUGUUUCAAAUUAAGUACAAUGUUUGCACUUUUUGUACUUUUUAUCAGGUUAAAGAAAUUUCCUUCUAGGUUUCCUGAGAAACUUUAUAACUAAUGAGUUGAAUUUUAUCAAAUUCUAGUGAAAUAAUCACAUGAUAUUUCUCCUUUAAUUCAUUAUUGCAAAGAAUUUGCAAUACAUUUUUUUAAUUAAAAAAAUUCUUGUACCCUGAAAUUAUCUCCACUUUCUCAUGAUGUAUUUUUUUAACAAAUUAACUUAAAUCUAUUUCCUUUCUCCCAUUCCAGAAGUUCCCUUCCCAUUGACACCAAUAUAAUCACUCAUUUGCUUUAUCAAACAUUUAUAUGCAGCAGUCUUAGAAUAAUAAUACAAACAAAAUAGUAUCAUUAUCAAUGUGAUUACUGAAAACGGUUUAAGAUUUUGAAGUUCCUUUUGUCCUAAGAUUUGUUUUAGUCACUUAAAGUUUAAGUGAGCUGAAAUUAACAGUUGUGAAAUGUUUUCCGACUUUCACUGCAUCCCUAAAUUAGGAAAAAAAAUUUUCAUCAUGUGCUAUAUUCGAGCUAUUGGAUAUGAGGAAUUCUGGGCAAACAUUUAUUGAGAACUUCCCAUUCACUGUUUCUCGAACUCAUAUCUGAUGUAUUUCAUAACUGCAAUACCUGGGCUAAAUGAUCCAGAAUGACUGAUAUUUAUUCAUAAUGAGACUUUAUUUAAAAAGUAUGACCAAAUUUUCCAUUGCCACCCCCAACCUUUCCCAAGUCAUCCAAUCAAAGCCCAGACACUACAGUAUUCUUUCUAACACCCUCUUAUUAAGACUUCCCUUGGUUUCCGGUGGUGUGUAUUUCUCUUUGCUGCAAUGAACAAUAAAG
ensembl:lncRNA